AGGCUUUGAUCCUGGCUCAGGACGAACGCUGGCGGCGUGCCUAACACAUGCAAGUCGAGCGGGGUAUAUUGUGGAGACGACUUCGGUUUUCUUUUUGAUAUACCUAGCGGCGGACGGGUGAGUAACGCGUAGGCAACCUACCUGGUAGACGGGGAUAACAGUUUGAAAGGACUGCUAAUACCCGAUGAACGUGUAUGCUAUGCUGGCAUUACACGCAAAGCGUUUAGCGCUACCGGAUGGGCCUGCGUUCCAUUAGCUAGUUGGUGGGAUAAAAGCCUACCAAGGCGACGAUGGGUAGCUGGUCUGAGAGGAUGGUCAGCCACACUGGGACUGAGAACGGCCCAGACUCCUACGGGAGGCAGCAGUGGGGAAUUUUGCGCAAUGGGGGCAACCCUGACGCAGCGACGCCGCGUGAGCGAAGAAGGCCUUCGGGUUGUAAAGCUCUGUCAAGGGGGACGAUAGUGACGGUACCCUCUGGAGGAAGCCCCGGCGUA
rnacentral:rRNA from 1 species